GUGUCAGCCGCCGCGGUAAGACGUAGGAUGCGAGCGUUGUCCGGAUUUAUUGGGCGUAAAGAGUUCGUAGGUGGUUUGUUAAGUUUGGUGUUAAAGAUCGGGGCUCAACCCUGGGACUGCACUGAAUACUGGCAGACUCGAGUGUGGUAGAGGCUAGUGGAAUUCCCAGUGUAGCGGUGAAAUGCGUAGAUAUUGGGAAGAACACCGGUGGCGUAGGCGACUAGCUGGGCCAUAACUGACGCUGAGGAACGAAAGCCAGGGGAGCGAAUGGGAUUAGAUACCCCAGUAGUCCUGGCCGUAAACGAUGGAUACUAGGCGUAUCGGGUAUCGACCCCUGAUGUGCCGCAGCUAACGCGAUAAGUAUCCCGCCUGAGUAGUACGGCCGCAAGGUUGAAACUUAAAUGAAUUGACGG
rnacentral:rRNA from 1 species